rnacentral:rRNA from 1 species
UUGACCUCAAAUCAGGUAGGACUACCCGCUGAACUUAAGCAUAUCAAUAAGCGGAGGAAAAGAAACUAACAAGGAUUCCCCUAGUAACUGCGAGUGAAGCGGGAAGAGCUCAAAUUUUGAAUCUGGCGGUCUUUCGGCCGUCCGAGUUGUAAUCUAGAGAAGCGUCUUCCGCGCUGGACCGUGUAUAAGUCUCCUGGAAGGGAGCGUCGUAGAGGGUGAGAAUCCCGUCUUUGACACGGACUGCCAGUGCUAUGUGAUGCGCUCUCGACGAGUCGAGUUGUUUGGGAAUG